rnacentral:rRNA from 1 species
GAGACCGGCGCACGGGUGCGUAACGCGUAUGCAAUCUACCUUUCACAGAGGGAUAGCCCAGAGAAAUUUGGAUUAAUACCUUAUAGUAUAUCGAGUUGGCAUCAGCAUGAUAUUAAAGAUUUAUCGGUGAAAGAUGAGCAUGCGUCCCAUUAGCUAGUUGGUAUGGUAACGGCAUACCAAGGCUACGAUGGGUAGGGGUCCUGAGAGGGAGAUCCCCCACACUGGUACUGAGACACGGACCAGACUCCUACGGGAGGCAGCAGUGAGGAAUAUUGGACAAUGGGCGCAAGCCUGAUCCAGCCAUGCCGCGUGCAGGAUGACGGUCCUAUGGAUUGUAAACUGCUUUUAUACAGGAAGAAACACCCCGACGUGUCGGGACUUGACGGUACUGUAAGAAUAAGGAUCGGCUAACUCCGUGCCAGCAGCCGCGGUAAUACGGAGGAUCCAAGCGUUAUCCGGAAUCAUUGGGUUUAAAGGGUCCGUAGGCGGUCAAGUAAGUCAGUGGUGAAAGCCCAUCGCUCAACGGUGGAACGGCCAUUGAUACUGCUUGACUUGAAUUAUUAGGAAGUAACUAGAAUAUGUAGUGUAGCGGUGAAAUGCUUAGAGAUUACAUGGAAUACCAAUUGCGAAGGCAGGUUACUACUAAUUAAUUGACGCUGAUGGACGAAAGCGUGGGUAGCGAACAGGAUUAGAUACCCUGGUAGUCCACGCCGUAAACGAUGGAUACUAGCUGUUGGGCGCAAGUUCAGUGGCUAAGCGAAAGUGAUAAGUAUCCCACCUGGGGAGUACGAACGCAAGUUUGAAACUCAAGGAAUUGACGG